GAUGAACGCUGGCGGCGUGCCUAAUACAUGCAAGUCGAGCGAACGGACGAGAAGCUUUCUCCUCUGAUGUUAGCGGCGGACGGGUGAGUAACACGUGGAUAACCUACCUAUAAGACUGUGAUAACUUCGGGAAACCGGAGCUAAUACCGGAUAAUAUUUUGAACCGCAUGGUUCAAAAGUGAAAGACGGUCUUGCCGUCACUUAUAGAUGGAUCCGCGCUGCAUUAGCUAGUUGGUAAGGUAACGGCUUACCAAGGCAACGAUGCAUAGCCGACCUGAGAGGGUGAUCGGCCACACUGGAACUGAGACACGGUCCAGACUCCUACGGGAGGCAGCAGUAGGGAAUCUUCCGCAAUGGGCGAAAGCCUGACGGAGCAACGCCGCGUGAGUGAUGAAGGUCUUCGGAUCGUAAAGCUCUGUUAUUAGGGAAGAACAUAUGUGUAAGUAACUGUGCACAUCUUGACGGUACCUAAUCAGAAAGCCACGGCUAACUACGUG
rnacentral:rRNA from 1 species